rnacentral:tRNA from 1 species
UCCCGGUUCGUCUAACGGUAAGACGCAGGCCUCUGAAGCCUGUUAUUGGAGUUCGAAUCUCUGACCGGGAGCCA